rnacentral:snRNA from 1 species
AAUUGUUGCCGUUGGGGAAGA